GUGAAAUCUCCAAACAAACAUAUUCCUGCUUCUUGCUCUCGCUACUCACAAACCACUGUGCGCUGACUGCUCGUUAUUCACCGUCGUUGGCCUUCCACCACCGGUUGCUCGACUGUCUUGUACUUUGAAUGUCUUUCUCGUUAAGCCGCCAUUUAAUCCUCCAACAGAGAUGAAGAUGAAAUUCAUAAUCUGCAUCGCCUAAGCCUUCAUCUGGAUUGAAAUCAUCGGUUUGGGACUACCAUCGACACCCUUUCAUCAUCUCUGUUGCGAAACUGAUGGAGUAAAGCCACCGCGUUGGAGAUUCUCAUAUCUCUAUGAACAGGUGAGUGUCUUCCUUUCAUAAAUUCCUUAGUUUAAACAUUGAAAAGUAGAAGGACCAAUUUUGUUCAAAUCUUAGCUUGUCCGUCUCCCGAACUUUGAAUCCCAUUAUAUUUCUUUAAGGGAAUUAGGUUUAUUGUUACUUUAAAAUUGGAUUUCUGCUAUGUUUUUGUAUAGGUGUAGAGUUAGAGUUAAAAUAUAAACUCUAAUAUGGAUGUAGAGUUAUAGUUAAAAACAAAUAAUCCCACUAUUACGAAACUUGUAUAACAGUAGAGGCAAUUAAAAUGUUAUUUUCGAACCUGAACAAUUAUUAAGGAGUUUGACUCAAAAUGCUUUUUCAUAAAACUUGUUGUUGAUAGUAUUUGUGUCAUAUUGCAUAAGUAUAUUCUCUCUCACAAUGGUUCCAUCUGGGCAAAUCUAUGUGAUUGUUGUAAUCAAGUUCUAUUCUUACAUAGCUUGCUUCAACUCUUCAAUUUAACUGUUACUUUAUAUUUGAUUUGUUCCUUUUUGAUAGAUUCUACUUGUAGUAAAAUUCCUUUUCUUAAUGCUCCUUAAGGCAUUUCUGUUAGAAGGUUUGUUCUUAAAGUGAAGUCCUCAAAGAAAAGACAAUGCAGUUAUAAUGCUAAUGAUAAUGCCAUGCUUAAUACUAAUUCACGUAAAGACUUUCUUGGGUUAGCAUUAGGAGGAGCCUAUACACUUUUCAUCCAUUCAUUUGAUGCUGCCAAUGGAGCUGGUUUGCCACCAGAAGAAAAACCUAAACUGUGUGACAACACUUGUGAGAAAGAGCUUGAAAAUGUAUGGUGAAAUUACAUUACAUAAGAGUAUUUAUCUCCGCGAGAUCCAUCUGGCCAUGGAACUCACACAUCAUUGAGUGCAGCCGGCGUACUAGUAGAAAAUGAGAGCUUUAAAGGACUGGCUAAAGGAUAAGGCUAAGAGGCGGCGCUCCAUUAGCUUGUUUAGCUAUCUACAAGAUUUGUUGGUCAACUAGAGGCUGCAGCUCUGCUGGCCUUCUUGCAGAUUUUGAUGAUGCUAUAUAUGAUGGAGUGACAUUAUUCCAGCAUCUCUCGGCUCAUAUCCUCCGUUUCCACUUCUGUUUAGAAUGUGUUGGCCAUUGGUUCCUUCCAUGUUGUUGCAAGAGGAAUUUCUGUCAUAUGUUCUUUUGGUAACUCUCGAUCAUAUGCUCAAACUAUACAGGUAUUGUCGCUGCCAGUACCAUCGAUAGGGAAUUUCCAAUAAAAUUGUCUUGGGAAAUAAUAAAUCUAUACAGGUACUUCAUCUCCGUGUUUUUUGUUUUAUGGAUCAAAAGCAUCUAUUAGUAGUUUAUAUCGUGGCUAAAAAUUGGCCGUUUUCAAUGAAGAAACAAAAAUAUAUUUUAUUUCCUCAUAUAGAGUCACUAUAUACACAGGGGAAAAAAUUAAACCAAUUUUAUCCUAUACUGUAUGAAGAGGAUAUAUCAACUUCAGAUGCAAGUGAAGAAACUGCCAGGAAUCUUGUAAUCAAGUUUAAUCAGAACUGUUGUGGGGCAACAAAUGUCUCCUGAUGUCACAUUCUUCUUCGCCACGUGGACCAAGUUCUCUUUCUCCUUAAGUUUUAAAGGUUGCAGUCAAUACAUUGGAGCCAAGGGCGUAUCGUACAAACAAGCUGGUCCAUUUGAUAAUUGUCAAUUAUAGCCUGUAGACUUGUCUCACUUAAGGUAUAUACAAGUUAGGAAGUGUAUUAUUCCUAGUAACUGUGGAAUUAAUUCAUGUUCUCCCCACUUCUAAUUUCCUGCAAUCCAUUUCCACGCUGAUUGGGUUAGAAUGUCUUGUACUGAAACUUUUGUAUUCACAUGAUUUUUAUCAUGUAAUAAAAUAUUUUUGACUUAGCUCUCAUCUUUUUCCUGAUGCAGUUACUCUUCAUGAGUUUUAAUUUAUUAUAAUAUAAUGGUAUAUUUUUGCUGAUAUAUUCUUUUAUUUUUUGCUGAUAUAUUCUUUUAUUUAGGGAUAGUUAAUUUCAACCUUGUGGCAUUUAUUUAGGUCUUACGUUAUGAUUUGUUUCUAUCUAUGAUCUUUAGACAAUUAUUUGCAGUACCCUUUUUUUACUUGUUAUAUAUGGAUAGACAUUUUGCAUAAUAUUUGAUAAGACAAUAUUUGUAUUUCUAGGUUUUUAUAAAUAAAAAUUGAUAAGACAAUAUUUGUAUUUCUAGGUUUUUAUUAAAAAAAAAUUGAUAAGACAAUAUUUGUAUUUCUAGGUUUUUAUAAAAAAAAAAAUUGGAUAAGACAAUAUUUGUAUUUCUAGGUUUAUAUAAAAAAAUAAAUUGCAUAAAAUCCAACUUGUUAGGUCGGUUAAAUUUAUCUGAUUUAAGAUAUAACUUCUUAAGUCGGGUACAAAUGGCAUAAGGGGUUCUUAAAGUCUAAACUUAUUAAGUCGGAUACUAUUUAACCGACUUAACAACACUUUCUUAAGUCAGGUCAAAAUCCGACUUAAGAAGUCAAAACUUCUUAUGUCGGCAAUUCUUAAGUCAGGUUCGGAACGGUCUUAAAAAGUCAUUCUUAACCGACUUAAAAAGUGUUUUUUCCACUAGUGAAAGCCAAUUUCUUACAUCUAGAGUGAUGAUGGAAUUCAGGAUCAAGUUACAUUUGAUGGAGUAAUCUGCUCAUGUAAUCCAUUACAAUCACAAAAAGGUAGGGUGAUAUAGGGUCUCCCUGCCUUAUGCCCCUGGCUGCUCUAAGUAAUUGUGAGUGAUCCCCAUUGAUAUCGUAUCUAUAAGUCACAGUAGUAACACCAUUCAUAA